AUUGAACGCUGGCGGCAUGCUUUACACAUGCAAGUCGAACGGCAGCGCGGGGCAACCUGGCGGCGAGUGGCGAACGGGUGAGUAAUAUAUCGGAACGUACCCAAGAGUGGGGGAUAACGUAGCGAAAGUUAUGCUAAUACCGCAUACGAUCUAUGGAUGAAAGCAGGGGACCGCAAGGCCUUGUGCCCCUGGAUCGGCAGAUAUCUGAUUAGCGAGUUGGUGAGGUAAAGGUUCACCAAGGCGACGAGCAGUAGCUGGUCUGAGAGGACGACCAGCCACACUGGAACUGAGGCACGGUCCAGACUCCUACGGGAGGCAGCAGUGGAGAAUUUUGGACAAUGGGCGCAAGCCUGAUCCAGCAAUGCCGCGUGAGUGAAGAAGGCCUUCGGGUUGUAAAGCUCUUUUGUCAGGGAAGAAACGGCUGUGGCUAAUAUCCACGGCUAAUGACGGUACCUGAAGAAUAAGCACCGGCUAACUACGUGCCAGCCGCCGCCGUAA
rnacentral:rRNA from 1 species